UGUGUGUGUGUGUGUGUGUGUGUGUGUGUGUGUGUGUGUGUGUGUGUGUGUGUGUGUGUGCAAGAGAAAAAGUGAGGAUGAGAUUGAUAGAAAAAGAGAAAAGAGAAGAGUCCCUGUUUAGUCUAUAAUAGACAGAAACAUCUAGUGUUGAAAAAGAUAUCCGACCCUUGUAAUAGAGCCAGAAUUAAAGUUAGCCUGUUUCUCCCUCUUUAAGGGGAGUCUUCCUCUGUUCUACAGGCCUACAAUUGCUCCUGUAACUAUACUGUACGGUUUGGCUCUACCAUGUGUUAAGAAGUGCAUGUGUGCCAAUGGCCUCUGUUCUAAAUUAGAGGGAAAGAAUAUUGUCUUUUUUAUUUUAUUGUCAUUGCAUUUUUUUUUAUCAUGAUUUUAUUUGACAUUUUCUUGCAAAGGAAUGAUUUUGGUUAAUGGUAAUGUAUUGUCCAACUUUUUUAUUUUCAUGUUUGUUCCACUUUGACUGUUCAUUGGAAAAUUGCCAUGUGUGAUACAUCACCAAAGUUAUCCCACAGUUUGUAGGAGUUGGCCUGGACAUUACUAUAAUGUAAGAAUGAUGCCCUUCUCUGCUUUAAGCAUACUCCUAGGGAGCCCAUCAAAAAUGAUUCUGAAUAAAUGUGUGGUUGCACUGCAUUUUCUGUGUCUUGUUACUGUUAAACUGUAUUUUGUCAUCUUAAAAAAAAAGGAAAAGCACACAUGAUCCCACAAUGGUUUAUAAAGACAAUAAUUUAAAAUGGUUGUCAUCCUGACAAUGUAUGCUUUAAAUAUAUUUGCUAAUGUAUUGAGGGAAAAGUGACUUUACCCCCAGUCUUGUUUUAAGUCAAAAGUCUAAUACCCUCUGGAAUUGAAUGUGAGUUCUUUGACAUUUUUGUGCUACCCUCUUUUGUACAACACAAGAUCAUCAUGUGUAUUAUUCUAUCCUCGUAGCGUUUUUGAUAUUGUUCUCCUAUUUUAAGUUAUUACUUUGUUUAUCUAUUAAGUGACUUUGUGAGAAUAAUCAUAAUUUGUUUUACAUCAGAUUAUGUAGCCUACUAAAUGAAAUGGAAGAUUUCUAGAUCAAUCCGUGGAUAUUGUUAGGACUUAGGAAUGAUCCCCAAUGCUGAUUGAAUCACCUGAACACAACUGAUCCUUUGGUCUGUCUGUUUGUUGAAGACAAUGCACUGCCACAGCGAGGUAUUUUGACUCCCCUGCCCUGUCUGUCUGUAGAUCUGUGUAGACAUGAUGCUGAAGUCUGGUCUAUCAACGUUACUGUCUAUACGCCACAUAGAGGUUUGAGUCUUGUCCGAGGUUCAGGCUCCACACCCAACUGUAGCUGGACAGUCAAUGGACACAAGUGGAGUGUGUUAGAGGAUGCAAUGUAUUUUCAUGGAAAGAAAAUGGGAGAUGUUGUGAUCCUCCUGGCCCUCUCUACUCGGCCACUUAAAUGCAAGAGAAGAGAAAGAAACGGGUCUGGAGGGUCUAAGGAAUGCAUGUACAUUAUGUAAAUGACAAAUAGAGACACAUUAACUUACAAAAAUGUAGACAUUUUCCCCACGCAGGGGACAAUGAUACGCAUUGUGUAUUUAGAAUUUGUAAAGUUUGCAUCCUCCUGUCAGAAGAGACUGUUGAAUUGUGGGAAAAGGAGUCCGUGUUUGAGAUAGUCUGUACAGUCCUCUCUCCCCGACCACAUUUGUUCAUUUAUGUAAGAUACUUUAUUAUCUACUUCUCAAACACGGCCGUUGGAAAAGAAAAAAAAUACACAUUUGUUUCUCUUUGUGUAAAAUUCAACUUCUGUGUAUUUCUCUAUUACCUGUGUACUUUAUAAAGGUGCUACAACAAAAUAAUAAAGAUAAUUUUGAGGUACCAAUCGGGAUUUGUGGGAACCAUGAGUGGUUCCUAAAAAUUGUUGAUACAAAAUUUACAGUUUGUACAAUUUUGUCAAAUUUACAGUUUUUACACGAUUAGGCAAAAAAUAUUACUUCCGAGGUACAAUCUGAAGUGAUUGACACACCAGGUGGCAGUUGUCUUUUUUGUUUUGUACAUUCUGUGUACAGUCAUUUCAUAUACUAAACUGGUCAGAAAAAAAGAAUUGUGAUUUUUAGUCUUGCAAAACUGUAUGUAGUUAGAUGACGUGACAUCCUAAUAUUUAUCUAAUAAAUAUGUAUUCAAAUGAAA
rnacentral:lncRNA from 1 species